AGGUGGUGUGUGAAAAUUAUAGAAUAAAGGCGGCAUUACGCGGCUUCUAAAGACACAAAGGACGACGCGGUUUCCAGUACCUGUGUUGUGCUUUAAUUUGCUGCCACUUUCUUGACCAAACGCCACCCAUUUAGGCAACAUAGACUAUCAAUCUCUUAAUACCAGUAAAACUUUUGAUCUUCCUUUGCUAACCAUCGGCAAAAUUCUCACCUGUUCUCCUUUUCCCAUCAACUGUAGCACGUCUAACAGCACUUGUAGUAAUUCGUGCUUAUUACAGCUGAAUCACGGUUGAGACAUUGGUUUGGAAGUUGUUUAAAUUAGUCAGAAACAUAAACAGAGAAUCACUUGUUCCUGAUUUAUCACCAUUCGGAGGUUCUCAUAAUAAACACACGGUUGAGAAGCCGGGAGGCUGUAAGUUUCUGUCUCCUCAACCCAAACAAUUCAACCUGGCUUGGUACAUUUCUGUGCAAGGUUUAAGCUGGACAUCUCCUCAUCAAUUGUCAGAUUCAGAUGUCUACCCGUCUACCUUCCAUUUCACUCCUGAAAGGAGAAAAUUCUCAAAAGAUUCACGGGAAAAAUUUACCAGAGAGUCCACGCAGAAAGCUGUUAAGAAACCUAUUUCUUCCCCUGAUUUCAGCAAAUGGGCAGCAAUUUGCUUACAAGCACCUUUUUUUUUUUUAAAAAAAAAAAAACAAUAUUUGCAGGAUAAUACGAUUAAAAAAAGAAUUAAUAUAAUAGCAUAGCUAGUACAUGUUACGAUUAAAAAACACAAUAUUUAUAACUUUUUGUUAUUUAAACUAGUGACAUUCAUAAGAAAUUAUUAAACAAGCAGGAGAGAGGAUAGCGAUAAAAAAAAAAUAAUCUACGAGACGCACUAAAGCUCCAAUUAUGAUACUAUUAUUAUUCUAAAGAAGAUUUUGACAAAAUGAAUCCAACGACAUUCAAAAAUAUCAUCAAUAGUGAACCGAGUGUGUCACACUUGUUGGUGUUGACUCACUUGUAUUUAGCAAUAAGUGUAGCUCACUGGAUCAUCGUUUGUGACUUUUUAUGUUGUUAGAUUUGUCUCGUUGAGUUGUUUUAAUAUGUCUUUAGAGUUUUUUUCUUUUGUUUUUCUUCUCUUUUCUCUCUUCAGCUCAUUUAAUAAUCUUUUAUGGAUGUUGUUAUUUUAAAUAGUGACAAAUUAUAAAUAUUGUGUUUUUCAAUUGCUACAUGUUUAUUUUGUUAUUUUUUUCAGGUGUAUUAUUCCUCUAAUAUUUUUAAUUUAAUGUGUUAGUUUUUUUUUUAAAAAAAAUAAAUAAAACCCACCAGUACUUCACGGCAGCAGCAGCGCAAGUGGCUCCUUUGGUUCUGAUGCUACAGA